rnacentral:rRNA from 1 species
CCUACGGGGGGCAGCAGUGAGGAAUAUUGGUCAAUGGGCGGAAGCCUGAACCAGCCAAGUAGCGUGCAGGAUGACGGCCCUACGGGUUGUAAACUGCUUUUGUACGGGAAUAACGCGCCUUACGUGUAGGGCUUUGCAUGUACCGUAUGAAUAAGGCACGGCUAAGUGCGUGCCAGCAGACGCGGUACGACGGAAGGUCCGGUCGUUAACCGGAUUUAUUGGGUUUAAAGGGAGCGUAGGCCGCAUGUCAAGCGUGCUGUGAAAUGUCCGGGCUCAACCCGGGCCUUGCAGCGCGAACUGGCGAGCUUGAGUCCGCGGAAGGCAGGCGGAAUUCGUCGUGUAGCGGUGAAAUGCUUAGAUAUGACGAAGAACCCCGAUUGCGAAGGCAGCUUGCUGCAGCGGAACUGACGCUGAUGCUCGAAAGCGCGGGUAUCGAACAGGAUUAGAUACCCGAGUAGUC